GACGAACGCUGGCGGCGUGCUUAACACAUGCAAGUCGAACGGAAAGGCCCUGCUUUUGUGGGGUGCUCGAGUGGCGAACGGGUGAGUAACACGUGAGUAACCUGCCCUUGACUUUGGGAUAACUUCAGGAAACUGGGGCUAAUACCGGAUAGGAGCUCCUGCUGCAUGGUGGGGGUUGGAAAGUUUCGGCGGUUGGGGAUGGACUCGCGGCUUAUCAGCUUGUUGGUUGGGUAGUGGCUUACCAAGGCUUUGACGGGUAGCCGGCCUGAGAGGGUGAACGGCCACAUUGGGACUGAGAUACGGCCCAGACUCCUACGGGAGGCAGCAGUGGGGAAUAUUGCACAAUGGGCGGAAGCCUGAUGCAGCAACGCCGCGUGCGGGAUGACGGCCUUCGGGUUGUAAACCGCUUUCGCAUGUGACGAAGCGUGAGUGACGGUAAUGGGUAAAGAAGCACCGGCUAACUACGUG
rnacentral:rRNA from 1 species